GCGAACGCUGGCGGCAGGCUUAACACAUGCCAGUCGAGCGGGCACUUUCGGGUGUCAGCGGCGGACGGGUGAGUAACGCGUGGGAACGUGCCCUCUGGUUCGGAAUAACUCAGGGAAACUUGAGCUAAUACCGGAUACGCCCUUUUGGGGAAAGGCUUGCUGCCGGAGGAUCGGCCCGCGUCUGAUUAGCUAGUUGGUGAGGUAACGGCUCACCAAGGCGACGAUCAGUAGCUGGUCUGAGAGGAUGAUCAGCCACACUGGGACUGAGACACGGCCCAGACUCCUACGGGAGGCAGCAGUGGGGAAUAUUGGACAAUGGGCGCAAGCCUGAUCCAGCCAUGCCGCGUGAGUGAUGAAGGCCUUAGGGUUGUAAAGCUCUUUUAUCCGGGACGAUAAUGACGGUACCGGAGGAAUAAGCCCCGGCUAACUUCGUG
rnacentral:rRNA from 1 species